GCUCAAUUUGAAAUCUGGCACCUUCGGUGUCCGAGUUGUAAUUUGAAGAAGGUAACUUUGGAGUUGGCUCUUGUCUAUGUUCCUUGGAACAGGACGUCACAGAGGGUGAGAAUCCCGUGCGAUGAGAUGCCCAAUUCUAUGUAAAGUGCUUUCGAAGAGUCGAGUUGUUUGGGAAUGCAGCUCUAAGUGGGUGGUAAAUUCCAUCUAAAGCUAAAUAUUGGCGAGAGACCGAUAGCGAACAAGUACAGUGAUGGAAAGAUGAAAAGAACUUUGAAAAGAGAGUGAAAAAGUACGUGAAAUUGUUGAAAGGGAAGGGCUUGAGAUCAGACUUGGUAUUUUGCGAUCCUUUCCUUCUUGGUUGGGUUCCUCGCAGCUUACUGGGCCAGCAUCGGUUUGGAUGGUAGGAUAAUGACUAAGGAAUGUGGCUCUACUUCGGUGGAGUGUUAUAGCCUUGGUUGAUACUGCCUGUCUAGACCGAGGACUGCGUCUUUUGACUAGGAUGUUGGCAUAAUGAUCUUAAGCCACCCGUCUUGAAACACGGACCAAA
rnacentral:rRNA from 1 species